GGGACGGCAGCGGGAGCCGGGGCCGGGGCUGAGCCGCGCUGGGGAGCGGGGAGCGAGGAGCGAGGAGCGGAGCUGCUCUGGAGGGGCGAUGCGGGCGGGAAGGUGCCGCGCUGCCGGCUGCGCCUGAGCCGGAGCAUCCCGAGCGGGAGCAUCCGGGCGGCGUCAGCCGUCUGCUUUUCGAGGGAGGUGGACGCUCCGGGUUUGGGGUGUUUUUUCCUGUCCCCGCCCUCACCAGGUGCGCGUUGUUCGUGCUGUCGGUGCCAGCGGAGGCUCGGCGAGCGCGGCUGCCCGGCGGCCGAGCGCUGUUGCUCGCACGCUCCCGCAGCGCCGGGGCCGCUCGCUGCCGCUGUCCGGCGCCGAGCGCUGCCGCGCCGGCUGAGGCGGGUCCCGGCGGCUUUGGGAAGCUGCUGUGCGCCCUGGAACAGCUCUCGCCGCGCCUCGCCCCUGCUGCUGCUCCGAGGGAGCAUCUUUAGCCGUUUGCCUGUCCUGUGCUGUGACCAAGGGCAUUUGAUUUUCACAAGCGUUUAACCGAGGGUCUUUUCUCAGCAUGCAGUCCCUUUAGAUUUGGGCAUGAUCACCAACCACAUCCUCUGCACUGGAUAUUUGGCCUCUAUUUCCACAUCUUCUUCCUGCUUGUACCAUCACAUGUGCAAUAGUGGCUAGCUUUGGCAUGGCUGCCCAGGCGUGGAACUGCUGGUACCUGCAGCUGGCCUCUUACUCAGUGAUGCCUUGCCUGAUCCCUCACCUUCUCAGUUUGUCCUUCUUCUGGUGAAUGCCACCUCAUCCAUCUCCUACUUACCACAGGAUAAAAGGAAAUAUGAAAAAACUCCCAAUUGAGCCCACCUGAAGUAAGAGUGGUUGUCCUGGUUGUCCUCAUCUGUGAAAGAUGCAGCUUUGUGCUCCUGCAUAUCUUGCAGGCUGUUGGGAUGCUUGAUUGAGACCACCAAAAUCUCCACUAUAAAACAGCAAUAAACAAUAAAACAACAUCUGGAAUGUAACCUUUUGUCCAUAGCCCUUAGAUAGUCCUCUCAUGCUUGCUGGGCUGGCAGGGCUGCCCAUUCCUUGGGACUCUGCUUGUAGGUGUCAGAAGCUGAAACAUGCCUGCCUUUGAGAUCUCCAUGGCAGAAUAACAGCAAGUUCUGAAGGAUAAAAUAUUAAAUUGUCUUGGGCUUGAGGAGUAAAGGAUAAAUUCAUUCACUGGCUGACUUGUCAUCUCACCGUUGUGAUGGAAAAAUGUUCACUUAAAAUAAACCCUUUUCAUGCCACUAAAACUGCCUUCGCAUACAAGAUCUGUUGUGAUUUUUAAAACACAAACCCAAUAAUGUCCGAACCCGACCCUUCAUCUGGAUUUGUGGGAAACAUGGAAAAUGGGACUUUUCUGGAGCUGUAUCCCACAUCCCUUUCAACUUCAGUGGAUUCAUCACCUGGCCGUUUAUCCAACGUCUAUGUCUAUGUUUCUAUAUUCCUUAGUCUCUUAGCUUUUCUUCUUUUGCUACUGAUCAUUGCACUUCAGAGGCUGAAAAACAUAAUUUCUUCCAGUUCCUCCUACCCUGAAUACAAUAGUGAUGCUGGAAGUUCGUUCACUAAUUUAGAGGUUUGCAGUAUUUCUUCCCAGCGCUCUGCUCUCUCAAACCUGUCUUCAUGAAAACAAAUGAAAGGAAACACACGGGGAAUGGAAGAGCUUUGUCUAGUUUCUUGGGGAAGUAGUGCAUGUAACAUUUGCCUUAGAAGACUAUUAUCAAGAGGUGUUUUUAAAAGUUUCCUUAUUUUUUCCCCUUUCCUUUUCUAGUUUUCAUUUCCCCUUUAACUAAUUUUCAUCUUGAACAACGGAUAAUGAAUGAUACCUGAUCAUCAUUUCUUGCCUGUAAUAGUGAUGCUGUCUCUUUCUCACACGUAGAUGGUGUUCAUUAAGAGUAUUCCUGCCAAAUUGUAAUACAGUUCUAACUGGAUGUGUCAUUUUUCUGCUAUAAUUGUGACCCCUUCCCUAGUCUUGUGUCAGCAAUAUGCUGACUAUUUUUCCUUUUCCUUUUUUAAUUAUAUAAGGUGUUCUGGGUGAAAUCCCUAUUGCAAAAGUACAAAAUUCUGCUUAAAUUAUAAAUAUUGAGACAAUUUAAAGUUGUUGAUAAUGUUUCCUUUUUUUUUUCUUUUUAGUUUUCACAUAUUUUUCAGUGUUUAUUGAUGUUUAUAAAACACAACUAAUUCUUGAAGAAUGUUGCUUUUGUUUUUUUGUACUCCCAACGUGUUCUGUAUAAAGUCUGUAUUUCAGUUUUUGAGUCUCUUUGGUUAACUUAGUAAAGCAACUACAAUGACUAUGCUCACAGUUGAAUGUGUGAAGGUAUUUUUGGACCCUGUUGCAUCUCAUGAUCUCAUUUGCCUAAUGACAUGUUCCUCCAGGGGGCAGCUUUUGCUGCCUAAUCAUAAAUACCACACAACUCUUUUUCAUUCUUCACAGAUACUACAGCUUAUUCUUCCUGGAUACCAGGACAAGCUAGUGGUUUCUUGUAAAAGGCCUGAAUUUAACAAAAACAAGUAGGAAGUUAAGAGCUCCUAAACUGUCCUUUACGCACAUGAUGUUUGUACUCACAUGAGCAGGGCCAGCAGGGACAGAAACUGCUUGUACUGGUGAGGACCUUCUGGGCCAGGCUUUGUCCUGUGAUUUCAGAAAUGUGCAUUGGGUGGAGGGGGGCACACAGGGACCUGCACAAUGGCCAGGAAGACCUGAGCUCUGACCUGCAGGAAGUGCAAGGUGUACCUGCAGAGGGUAGGAAAAGAUGGGCAGGAUAAAUGGCAGUGGCUCUGCCACUUUUCCCCAUCAGCAUAAGGGCAGGCCAACGAGAGGGGAAGAGAAAUGGAUUCACAAUCUCUCUCCUCUUUGCCAUGCCAUUUUCUAGGUUAUCAUUUCCCCUGCUCAAAGUGUAACAUGUCACUCCAUUUCUGCAGUAAAAUAAUGAGCAGCUUUGUGAACUGGAUCCUGUGGUCAGCAGGGCUUUAAAUCAAGCCAAACAUUCAAAUUAGUGAUCUGAAGUGCCAAGUGUGACCUACUAGAACUGCAACCACAGACUGGUGCAAUGCCUUGUUGUCCUUAUUGCACUGUGAGCACAGUUCCAUCCUGCCACCCAGCCCAUGCAAAUAUUGUGCUCCUGGCUGGAUUCAAGUCACUGGAGAGACCUAAGAAAGGUAUGGCAUUGUCACUGCAUUUUCUGUUACUGACAAAACACAGGUGUAACUCCGGGAGGUGGGAUUAUCUCAGCAGGAGCAGCUGCUCUCCCCUCACAUGGCACCACUGCCCAGCAGGCCAAGGGCUUAGGGAACACUUCCCAAACACAUUUAUACCUCUUGAUGAGCUGGCCAUGCAUUUAUAAACAAGACAGACUCUGCCAUUAUCUACACAGGCUUUAAAAUACAAAUUUGGAAAGUCUGGUAUAAAUAUAAUCAUUAGAAAUGCAGCUGCUGUUGCCAAACAAUACAGAUGAUGCUGGAGUUGGUGUUUUUGGAUUUUAAAAGUGGACAUGCAUUAUGGUAAGUGGUAAUGACUUAUGGUGGUGAUUAGUUCCUUACAGAGUCGAAAGAACUUGCUGACUAAUAAAGAAUGUAAGCCUGCAGAUUCCGUGAGCCAGACUGGUUUGAUGGAUAUAUUUACAGCUUGGAAUAUUCUAUUCAUCUAGAGAAAAGUUUACUGUAUGUAACUUUUUACUGUAUUUGACAACUGGCCUUGGAAAAAGAGGUUGUUGCUUAAAAGGGAUCAGGAAACAUUAUUUCCCUUCUGAAGUCUCUUUGAAAUCCCAAACCUGUUGCAGAAUGUAUUUGUAUGUUGACCAGUAGAUAGAAAUAAACAAACUGUAAAUCAA